GGCAAGGGCGUGGAGGUCCAACCAGGAUCACAAGGCUGAUUGGGAUCACUUGCUUCUGUCAUUCUUUUCUAAAGCUCUUGAGCUUUUGUGAGGAGAAACCUGAGGGGACAGAGCUAGCGCCGAAGAGAGUCGCCUGCCCAGAUCUGAUCAAGACACAAGUGAGAGGCAAUGAUUUGUGAAGAAAUCCUGGUCCUGGCGAAUGGAAUUUUCCCAAAAUAAAUUCAUGUAAACAACUUCCCACAAAGAGGCAGUCAGGGGAGCUGGGAGUAUAAACAGUGGGAACAGUUGUAAGCACUAUGGGCUCCAGGGGUGCCCUGUCGUCUGGAGGGGGGCUGUGGGGAGACUCCCUUUAGCAAAACACCUUUGGCUCCAGUCCUUCUGACAUCAUAAUGUCAGCCAAUUCAUUAAAAAAAAAGAAGGUCCUUAUUUUAGUAUCAUCCCCCAAACAUAGCAUGGCCACUUGGUAGCUAAAGAUGGAUUUUACUUAAAAAUUUUUUAGCCUAUUUCAAACCAAAUCAACUGGGAAGAAGGCAUGCUUGUGUAGAGGUGGGAACUGAGUUGGGGCCUUUGGAGAAGAUGGAAGGAAAGGGUGGCUAGGGAAAUAGAAAUAAUGUCAUUUUGGUGCUCUGGGACGGAAUCAGAGCGAACACAUCAUUCCUAGAAUUAAGACGAGAUCUGCUCUUUGGUAGACACUCAGAAGGACACUGAAUUCCUGUGGCCCGGAUGUCUCUGGCUGUGGACCAAUGGGGGCCUGUGGAAAGCUAGAGGGCGUAGAGUUGAGCAGCCCGAGUUUCCGGAACGAAGUGUUUGCGGGGCAUCUUCGUGGGACACGCCUUUCCCCCAGACAUUUUUCCCCAACCAAGUCUGACUUGCCCAAACCCGAGCUGUUUUCAGGAUCUGGGUUGGAUGAUGUUUCCUUCCUCCCGUAACCAUGGCCUAGAGACAGGAGACACACACUCGAGUUUGGCUGGGCCACUGUGACACUAUUGUAAGACUUCCAGCCACUCAUCUCAUUUCUCAGAGCCUCAGAUCCCUCAUGCACAGAGUGAGGGUCCGGAAAAGCCGUUUCAGCCCCGUGUGCUUCCCACGACUGCAAAGAUCAGGUUGGGAGGGAGCUUCGAGACUCUGGGGUUUUAUCUGUUAUCACGAGUAUCAUUCCAACUUUGCUUAAGUUCUAUCUGGGAUCAGUUGAGUUUUGGCGAGAAUUCACCUCUCUAUGCAAUAAUCAGGACCAAGGAACCAGGAGAGGAGGGUGCCUGAGCCACUGGAGCUAAGAAGGGCCAGAGAGAAGAGGAGGCCAAUAGGACAUCAGGAUUUCUCUGCCAGCCUUUUCUGGUAGCCAAGUUUCAAUCUGUGUCUGCCUGACUGUGAGUUUUCAUUGUCUACCUCCUGGGCAGAAGGACUGGGUAGUCCCACUUUCCCAUGUGACUCUACAGUAUCCUCCCCCUCCCAGCCAUACUGGCUUAGCUACCUGAUUUGUUUGGCCCAAUGAGAUGCUAGAGGCAUGUUCACAGGCCCAAAGUAUUCUUGUGCAACGUGGCCUCUGGUGCUCCUGGGAUCUGCUGUGAGAACAUUCCCUGGUUACUGCAGGUCCAAGAAGAAUGCGUGGGGCCACGGAUAGCUCUGAACCCAGCCCAAAGCUCAGAGACAAGCCAGCUGACCCGCAGCCAACUCAUCUGAGAGUGACACAAAUAAGUGGUUGUUACUGUAGGUCACUGAGCUCUGGGAAGGGCUAUGACGGUGCAUUCUUGCUGGUAGAUAGUCUGAUAAUGGCAAUGAGGCUAACACUUGCAUAAUUCCGUGGCAACUGAGACUUGCAAGUGAAGAUGUGGUUUUGAUGUGCAUGUUUCCGUUAACACGGUACCAUGGAAAUUGAGAAGGCCUGUACUAAUUAGAAGCUGCCCCUAUAGAAAAUAUUAUGUCUCCUGCAAAGGGUGAAGAGUAUGUAUAAGACACUGUGCAGUUUCAUGAGUAGUAUGUGUAAGACACUGUGCAGUUUCAUGAGUAGAAGAACUUAGUUGCUCUGAAGUCAGACUGCCUCUAGCUGGAAUGUUGGCUUUGCUACAUCAAAUUGUGAAUUUAGGUAAGAGACUGUUUUCCUGGGUCUUAGGUGCUGCGUCUUUAAAGUUUUUUUUUAUUGUUGUUUGUUUUUUUGAGACAGGGUUUCUCUGUGUAGCCCUGGCUGUCCUGGAACUCACUCUGUAGACCAGCUGGCCUCGAACUCAGAGAUCCGCUUGCCUCUGCCUUCUGAGUGUUGGGACUAAAGGCAUGUGUUGCAAUGCCUAGGGGCAUUUCAACUUUUAAAUAAGGAUUGUGACCAUUUUUAUGAGAAGGGCAUGUUGUAUGGACAUUUCUGGUGUAACACCUUCUACCUGGUGAGUACUUAAUAAAGCCCAUUGAUUUUUA